UAGGGAAUCUUCCACAAUGGGCGAAAGCCUGAUGGAGCAACGCCGCGUGAGUGAUGAAGGCCUUCGGGUUGUAAAACUCUGUCAUUCGGGACGAACCGGAGUCUGAGGAAAUGCAGACUCUCUGACGGUACCGGAGGAGGAAGCCCCGGCUAACUACGUGCCAGCAGCCGCGGUAAUACGUAGGGGGCAAGCGUUGUCCGGAUUCACUGGGCGUAAAGCGCGCGCAGGCGGUGAUGUAAGUCUGAGGUGAAAACCCGAAGCUCAACUUCGGGACUGCCUUGGAUACUGCGUCACUUGAGGAUAGGAGAGGAAAGGGGAAUUCCACGUGUAGCAGUGAAAUGCGUAGGGAUGUGGAGGAACACCUGUGGCGAAGGCGCCUUGCUGGCCUAUUUCUGACGCUGAGGCGCGAAAGCGGGGGGAGCAAGCAGG
rnacentral:rRNA from 1 species